CCUACGGGAGGCAGCAGUGAGGAAUAUUGGUCAAUGGGCGCUAGCCUGAACCAGCCAAGUAGCGUGAAGGAUGACUGCCCUAUGGGUUGUAAACUUCUUUUAUAUGGGAAUAAAGUGCAGUAUGUAUACUGCUUUGCAUGUACCUGAUGAAUAAGGAUCGGCUAACUCCGUGCCAGCAGCCGCGGUAAUACGGAGGAUCCGAGCGUUAUCCGGAUUUAUUGGGUUUAAAGGGAGCGUAGGCGGGUUGUUAAGUCAGUUGUGAAAGUUUGCGGCUCAACCGUAAAAUUGCAGUUGAUACUGGCAUCCUUGAGUACGGGAGAGGUAGGCGGAAUGCGUGGUGUAGCGGUGAAAUGCUUAGAUAUCACGAAGAACUCCGAUUGCGAAGGCAGCCUACUGGCGUGUAACUGACGCUGAUGCACGAAAGUGUGGGUAUCGAACAGGAUUAGAUACCCGAGUAGUC
rnacentral:rRNA from 1 species